rnacentral:rRNA from 1 species
ACUCAAAGGAAUUGACGGGGACCCGCACAAGCAGUGGAGUAUGUGGUUUAAUUCGAAGCAACGCGAAGAACCUUACCAGGCCUUGACAUCCUCUUGAAUAGCGUAGAGAUACGGUAGGCCUUCGGGACAAGGGAGACAGGUGGUGCAUGGUUGUCGUCAGCUCGUGUCGUGAGAUGUUGGGUUAAGUCCCGCAACGAGCGCAACCCUUGAUCUUAGUUGCCAGCAUUCAGUUGGGCACUCUAGGAUGACUGCCGGUGACAAACCGGAGGAAGGUGGGGAUGACGUCAAAUCAUCAUGCCCCUUAUGGCCUGGGCUACACACGUACUACAAUGGCCGGUACAACGGGAAGCGAUGCCGCGAGGCGGAGCCAAUCCUUACAAGCCGGUCUCAGUUCGGAUUGCAGGCUGCAACUCGCCUGCAUGAAGUCGGAAUUGCUAGUAAUCGCGGAUCAGCAUGCCGCGGUGAAUACGUUCCCGGGUCUUGCACACACCGCCCGU